AAAGCAUAUGCAUAUUUGCUUAUAACUUCUGCAGUUUUAGUGCAAGAGUUUUGAAAUUUUGCAGGUUCAUUUUGCAUGCAUUAUUGUGUUCUGUGAUUAUUUUAUCCGAAUUUAAUAGCGAAAAUUGAUUGCCAGAUUUUUGCUUUCCUCUACAGAAAUUUUAUACGUAAAAAGAAACAUAUGGUUAUACACAUGAUUUAAUAUUAGGCCUAUACACGCCAAAUUCCUAUUCCAGCAAAAUAUUUAUUAAUUAUAUGGUAUUAUUAAAUGCUAUAAAAUAAAUGAACAUAGUGUCAUUGCUGUACAUUCAUUAAUUGUUUGAGAAACAUUUCAUGUGUGUGAAAGAAUCUAAACUGCAGAAAGCUGAACUUAAAAGUAAAAGAAGAAUCUUUAUCAAGCAGAAAUAGCUAUAGUAUUUAAUUUAAGGGCAUUUCUGCUCAGAAUUCAGCAAUAAUACUUUCUAAUAACAUUAAUCACGUACACUAUGAUGCUAAGAACAUGCAUAGAGGUUAUGUAAUGAGGUUAAAAUUGUCCGAGAGGGGUGGAACUUCAGAAUCAGGUCUCGAUAGGCAUAGAGGUUGAUACAGAGCUAAUGUCAGAAAUGUUUUACAACAUAUGAAAUAAGAAACUUAUCUUUGGCAGCGAUGGUGAUGUGUGUAAUUCACAAAGUUAUGAUGACAACAUCUUGGUACCACUGUUGACAGACUAUUAAACUAUGCUGGGACAAGGGGAUCUAUGGUGCCAUGUUGUGGAUGCAUGCCAACAACGUUUUAUUGAAGGAAGGCAGUUUCUAUAUAAAUCCAAGUUACAUUUAAAGUACAUUACAAAAUUUUUACAUUUUAUUCCUAACAUCCUUGUGAAGAAAAAGAGAAGUUAAAAUGGUAGUACUGUCUCUCUUUCUGUCAUGCAUAUGCAUGUGAGUAGCAAUGCAUGUGGGGAUUUUGCACUUGAAAAUCGCUGUGUAUUUGAAAACGAAUAAAAUAUAUGAUUCACUGAACAAAGAAGGAGCAAGAUGGAGAAGGAGUAGGAAGCAACAUGACACAGUCAAAAUGGUUGGGAUGAGUCAAGGAAACUGUACGUGCGGCUCACGGCAUGAGUGGCAGCUUCUGCUGUGUCCAUGGAAAUAGAACACUGCUCUUCAUGACAGUGAAAUAAAAUGGCAAAUUUCAAAAUGUGGAUAGCAAAAUUGCAUAUAACAAGAGUCAACUGUGUGUACAUCAUGCAUGCUGAAAGUCAUGGGUAGUGAAGAAGUCCAGAGCUAUGAGAAUUGUCUUUUGGGCUGCUGAGGACUGCUGUUUGGUUGAUUCCCUGUGCAAAUUGGAAACCAUCCAUACAGAUCUCUGUGGUACAACAUUCAAGAAGCUGCAAUACACAUUUCAUGAGAAGCAAUUAUUUUUCAGGAUGAGAGCACAUGAUUUACUCGUACACUGUGACAAUCACAAAAUAUGUAAAAAGCUUCCUCAUUUUGCCACCUUGAACUGUCACUUGUUUGGGCCCCACAAGUAUCCUGUAAGAUACCAGCACAACGGCAAUGAUGAAGCAGUCAUGGAAGCUUGUGAGACAUGCUGGAACAAACUUCUAUGACACUUCUGUAAUAAUGGCAGAAGUGUGUUCUCAUUCUGAAGAUAUCAUGGGAAAGCAUCUACUAAACUGCUAAUUAAAACUAUUAAGCCCUAAGUACAUGUUACUCAUGAAUUUUAUUUACUUGGUCACAAUAAAACAGACAAAAUAUUUCUAUCAAGCAGCAAAUUAGCUGCAUUCAAACAUUA